rnacentral:rRNA from 1 species
UAAAAGUGCUGCAAGGCACUGGUAGAGGAUGGACUUAUGGCGCAUUAGCUGGUUGGUGAGGUAACGGCUCACCAAGGCGACGAUGCGUAGCCGACCUGAGAGGGUGACCGGCCACACUGGGACUGAGACACGGCCCAGACUCCUACGGGAGGCAGCAGUAGGGAAUUUUCGGCAAUGGGGGGAACCCUGACCGAGCAACGCCGCGUGAAGGAAGAAGGAAUUCGUUCUGUAAACUUCUGUUAUAAAGGAAGAAAGACGGAUGGAGGAAAUGACAUCCGAGUGACGGUACUUUAUGAGAAAGCCACGGCUAACUACGUGCCAGCAGCCGCGGUAAUACGUAGGUGGCAAGCGUUAUCCGGAAUUAUUGGGCGUAAAGAGGGAGCAGGCGGCAGCAAAGGUCUGUGGUGAAAGACUGAAGCUUAACUUCAGUAAGCCAUAGAAACCGGGCAGCUAGAGUGCAGGAGAGGAUCGUGGAAUUCCAUGUGUAGCGGUGAAAUGCGUAGAUAUAUGGAGGAACACCAGUGGCGAAGGCGACGAUCUGGCCUGCAACUGACGCUCAGUCCCGAAAGCGUGGGGAGCAAAUAGGAUUAGAUACCCUAGUAGUCCACGCCGUAAACGAUGAGUACUAAGUGUUGGAAGUCAAAUUUCA